rnacentral:rRNA from 1 species
CAGAGGGGGCAAGCGUUGUUCGGAAUUACUGGGCGUAAAGGGCGCGUAGGCGGCCUUCUAAGUCGAACGUGAAAUCCCCGGGCUCAACCCAGGAACUGCGUCCGAGACUGGAAGGCUUGAAUCCGGGAGAGGGAUGUGGAAUUCCAGGUGUAGCGGUGAAAUGCGUAGAUAUCUGGAGGAACAUCGGUGGCGAAGGCGGCAUCCUGGACCGGUAUUGACGCUGAGGCGCGAAAGCCAGGGGAGCAAACGGGAUUAGAUACCCCGGUAGUCCUGGCCCUAAACGAUGAAUGCUUGGUGUGGCGGGUAUCGAUCCCUGCCGUGCCGAAGCUAACGCAUUAAGCAUUCCGCCUGGGGAGUACGGUCGCAAGGCUG